rnacentral:rRNA from 1 species
UCGAACGGAUAUCUUCGGAUAUGAGUGGCGAACGGGUGAGUAACACGUACGCGUCCUGCCUGCAUGAGCGGGAGAACUUCUGGAAACGGAAGCUGAUACCGGAUGAGCAAAGAGGAGGCAUCUUCUUUUUGGAAAAGGGGACAAGAGUCCCGCAUGCAGAUGGACCUGCGGUGCAUUAGCUGGUUGGAGAGGUAACGGCUCACCAAGGCGACGAUGCAUAGCCGGCCUGAGAGGGCGGACGGCCACACUGGGACUGAGACACGGCCCAGACUCCUGCGGGAGGCAGCAGUAGGGAAUUUUCGUCAAUGGGGGGAACCCUGAACGAGCAAUGCCGCGUGAGCGAGGAAGGUCUUCGGAUCGUAAAGCUCUGUUGCCGGGGGCAAAAGGCAGAAAGAGUGGAAAGCUUUCUGAGUGAUGGUACCCGGCGAGGAAGUCACGGCUAACUACGUGCCAGCAGCCGCGGUAAUACGUAGGUGGCGAGCGUUAUCCGGAAUGAUUGGGCGUAAAGGGUGCGCAGGCGGCCGGGCAAGUCCGCAGUAAAAACUGGAGGCUCAACCUUCAGGGGCUGCGGAAACUGUCCGGCUGGAGAGCAGGAGAGGACGGUGGAACUCCAUGUGUAGCGGUAAAAUGCGUAGAUAUAUGGAAGAACACCGGUGGCGAAGGCGGCCGUCUGGCCUGCAUCUGACGCUGAGGCACGAA